rnacentral:rRNA from 1 species
AAGCGUACACGGUGGAUGCCCUGGCAGUCAGAGGCGAUGAAGGACGUGCUAAUCUGCGAUAAGCGCCGGUAAGGUGAUAUGAACCGUUAUAACCGGCGAUUUCCGAAUGGGGAAACCCAGUGUGAUUCGUCACACUAUCAUUAACUGAAUCCAUAGGUUAAUGAGGCGAACCGGGGGAACUGAAACAUCUAAGUACCCCGAGGAAAAGAAAUCAACCGAGAUUCCCCCAGUAGCGGCGAGCGAACGGGGAGGAGCCCAGAGCCUGAAUCAGCAUGUGUGUUAGUGGAAGCGUCUGGAAAGGCGCGCGAUACAGGGUGACAGCCCCGUACACAAAAGCGCAUGUGCUGUGAGCUCGAUGAGUAGGGCGGGACACGUGGUAUCCUGUCUGAAUAUGGGGGGACCAUCCUCCAAGGCUAAAUACUCCUGACUGACCGAUAGUGAACCAGUACCGUGAGGGAAAGGCGAAAAGAACCCCGGCGAGGGGAGUGAAAAAGAACCUGAAACCGUGUACGUACAAGCAGUGGGAGCACAGGUUUACCUGUGUGACUGCGUACCUUUUGUAUAAUGGGUCAGCGACUUAU